GAAGGAUCCAAAAAUCUACAGCAAAUUCUAAAUACCUUAGAUUUACUUGGGCUACAGAGCACCACCAGGGCUGAAGAAUCAGCAAACAAGUUACAGUCUUCUCUAUAUAUUUCUGCGCUAAUUAAAGCUUUCUCCAAGAACUCAAAGUUCUUCACAAACAUCAAUCAAUAAGUACCUAUUUUUUUCACUUUAUUUUGAUAGGUAUAUACAUUAUACUGUCCAGAGAUUAAGUAACCAGUCCAAAAAACUUAGCAAGUUAGAGACAGGCGCAGAAUAAAUGCCUAUGUUAUUUAAGUCUCUAUGUCUUUUUUUCCCACCUUAAUGAAGAAACCAUAUAUUUUCUUUUGAAACCAACUCAGAAAGCUUCUGCCAGUUAAUUUUUAUCUUCUAUUCUCUGGCUUAAAAAACAUACUUUAGCACAUCUGCAUAUAAGAUAUUACAAUAAAUAAAUAAUCCUGAAAAUGUAUUCAAUAGCUAAGAAAAAUUAAUGGAUCAAUGGCUAUUUCAAAUUGAAGUUUUAACUACUUCUUAAGCUACUUAAUAAAGUAUUAUAAAGGUCGAGCAAAGUCUACAAUAAUUUUAAAAACCAACACUCUGGAAGUAUAGUAAGGGAAACAGAACAGCAAGAGUCCAUGUUUUCCUCCUACACUUUUCACAUACUUGUAUUUAGCAGUUAUAAUAUUCUAGUCUAAUUGUCUAAUGUCUGAUUUCCCUCUAGACUGAACUCCUCAAGGGUAGAGAGUAUUUCCUCCUGAUAUCUCCAGAGUAUUACAGAGUGCCUGGCACAUAUUAGGAUGCUCAGUAAAUAUUAGUUGAAUAAACAAACUAAUUAACUUGUUAAAGAAAUAUCAGAGUUGAGCAACCCAUGCUGCUGCUCUGCCUCUGGAGUAGCCAUUCUUUUAUUCCUUUACUUUCUUAAUAAACUUGCUUUCACUUAAAAAAAAAAAAAGAAAUAUCAGAGGAACAGAUAUGCUUUCAGAAAUGAUCUGAAGGAAUGGAGGAAUGCUUUUGCUUAUAUUUCUCUAGAAACACUAAAAACAGAAACAAGGUCAGUAGGUAAAUACGACAAAGGGAAACUAAGUUUGAGAAAACGGAUGCAAAAGAUAGGUAAUGUUUGAAGAUUCUUUUUUUUAAAAAGGGAAGCUUAUACCGUUAGAAAAAAGGUAGUAAUUUGAGAAAAUGCAUAUUCAGAAAAAAGUACAAAGAUUUUGACCACAGACUAUGAGAGGGAAAGACCAAAAGGAAAUAUUACAUCAAACUGGGAAAUAACCAGUAGAACUUGGUUUAUUUGCUAUUUGGAAAGUAAAUGAAACUAGUCUUUUUUUUUUCAUUUGAUUAAAUGCUUUUGUUCACAGAACAUAUCUGCCUAAACUUAAAACCAGAAAAGUCCUUUUACAAGGUCAGAUUAUUGUUGCACAGUCAUAGUAUUUUUUUAAAAUACAAUUACAAAGCAAGUACAUUCUAGCACUAUCAAAGACCCCACGAAACAGAAAACUCACUAACAACCACAUUGAAAAUGUACAACAGCAAUGUCUUGUCAACACUUCUGUACAGAGCACAGACAUGACAGCUAAAACAGACAGAAAAGAAGAUGCUUUUGACAGCCAGUGUGUGUGAAUGAUUCUUUGAGUCAGAUGGCAGCAACAAGUUACCAACUAGGAGAUCUGCAUGACAACUAACCAUCCAUCUGUAUCAAACACCAUCUGGCCAAGAUGACUCUGGCUUCUGUGUAUUUGAC
rnacentral:lncRNA from 10 species